UGGGGAAUAUUGCACAAUGGGGGAAACCCUGAUGCAGCGACCCCCCGUGGAGGAAGAAGGUCUUCGGAUUGUAAACUCCUGUUGUUGGGGAAGAUAAUGACGGUACCCAACAAGGAAGUGACGGCUAACUACGUGCCAGCAGCCGCGGUAAAACGUAGGUCACAAGCGUUGUCCGGAAUUACUGGGUGUAAAGGGAGCGCAGGCGGGAAGACAAGUUGGAAGUGAAAUCUAUGGGCUCAACCCAUAAACUGCUUUCAAAACUGUUUUUCUUGAGUAGUGCAGAGGUAGGCGGAAUUCCCGGUGUAGCGGUGGAAUGCGUAGAUAUCGGGAGGAACACCAGUGGCGAAGGCGGCCUACUGGGCACCAACUGACGCUGAGGCUCGAAAGUGUGGGUAGCAAACAGGAUUAGAUACCCUGGUAGUCCACACCGUAAACGAUGAUUACUAGGUGUUGGAGGAUUGACCCCUUCAGUGCCGCAGUUAACACAAUAAGUAAUCCACCUGGGGAGUACGACCGCAAGGUUGAAACUCAAAGGAAUUGACGGGGGCCCGCACAAGCAGUGGAGUAUGUGGUUUAAUUCGACGCAACGCGAAGAACCUUACCAAGUCUUGACAUCCCUUGACAGGCAUAGAAAUAUGUUUUCUCUUCGGAGCAAGGAGACAGGUGGUGCAUGGUUGUCGUCAGCUCGUGUCGUGAGAUGUUGGGUUAAGUCCCGCAACGAGCGCAACCCUUAUGGUCAGUUACUACGCAAGAGGACUCUGGCCAGACUGCCGUUGACAAAACGGAGGAAGGUGGGGAUGACGUCAAAUCAUCAUGCCCUUUAUGACUUGGGCUACACACGUACUACAAUGGCGUUAAACAAAGAGAAGCAAGACCGCGAGGUGGAGCAAAACUCAGAAACAACGUCCCAGUUCGGACUGCAGGCUGCAACUCGCCUGCACGAAGUCGGAAUUGCUAGUAAUCGUGGAUCAGCAUGCCACGGUGAAUACGUUCCC
rnacentral:rRNA from 1 species